GAAAAAGUAAAGAAUGCAUCACAUAACUAGUAUUCUAAGAAAAAUAGUGAAUACUUUGAUAAGGAAAUUUGUUGGGUGGUAUAUAUACAUAAACAGAUCAGGAAAAGAGUAAACAUGAGACAAUUAUGAAAAGUCAAGGAACUUGUGACUUUAAAGAGGAGUAGCCUUUAAGUAGGAAACAAUCUCCAUAAAAUCUCUGUUUUUAGUUGUUAUGGAAAGUCAAUCACUA
rnacentral:misc_RNA from 1 species